CAGCACCUCAAGUGGUCAGGAUGAUUAUUGGGCCUAAAGCAUCCGUAGCCGGCUUAGCAAGUUUCCUGUUAAACCCAGCGACUCAAUCGUUGGAUCGCGGGAAAUACUACUAGGCUAGGAGGCGGGAGAGGUCAACGGUACUUCUGGGGUAGGGGUGAAAUCCUAUAAUCCCGGGAGGACCACCAGUGGCGAAGGCUGUUGACUAGAACGCGCUCGACGGUGAGGGACGAAAGCUGGGGGAGCGAACCGGAUUAGAGACCCGAGUAGUCC
rnacentral:rRNA from 1 species